rnacentral:rRNA from 1 species
AAUAUUGGACAAUGGGCGAAAGCCUGAUCCAGCCAUGCUGCGUGUGUGAAGAAUGUCUUCGGAUUGUAAAGCACUUUAAGUCGGGAGGAAGGGCAUUAACCUAAUACGUUAGUGCUUUGACGUUACCGACAGAAUAAGCUCCGGCUAACUCUGUGCCAGCAGCCGCGGUAAUACAGAGGGUGCAAGCGUUAAUCGGAAUUACUGGGCGUAAAGCGCGCGUAGGUGGUUUGUUAAGUUGAAUGUGAAAUCCCCGGGCUCAACCUGGGAACUGCAUCCAAAACUGGCAAGCUAGAGUAUGGUAGAGGGUAGUGGAAUUUCCCGUGUAGCGGUGAAAUGCGUAGAUAUAGGAAGGAACACCAGUGGCGAAGGCGACUACCUGGACUGAUACUGACACUGAGGUGCGAAAGCGUGGGGAGCAAAC